rfam:Clostridium caminithermale DSM 15212 genome assembly, contig: EJ27DRAFT_scaffold00099.99
UGUACCUUUAAAUUGGUCCAGAGAGGCCUCUAAGGUAAAAGAUAGUAUAUAGUUUAGUUAUGUCUAUAGCUAUAAUAGGUAAGUUAUGCCUUCCGCUUCUCUAAGUGGAAGGCUUUUUUGCU